rnacentral:snoRNA from 1 species
GGCAAAGAUGAAGAGUGCUACUUCUGACACCUCUUGUAUGAGAAGAGUUUGAAUACUCUUCCUUGAGCACAGUAAGCAACUCUCUGAGCC